ensembl:lncRNA
UUAAAAACGCUGUCCUUUAAAUAAGGGCUUCUCCAAACUCACCGGAUUCUGGAGGAAUGUCAUUGUGCUCCUCGCUCUUCACUUACUUUGCUGAAGGAUCCGCUUAAGGUAUGAAACCGUUUGACUGUGAACCGUUUUUGUGAUCACGAGGUUUAUAAACGAUGUCCUCAAAACAGUCCUUAAAAAGUACUGGGAGAAAACGAGGACAUUACACUUAAAACACAACAUGUGUGACUGAAAUCAGCCAGUUUUCGUUCGAUUUCUCACCGACUGAUACUCAAUAUUUAACUUUGUUUUAUUAAACCCUGGCUUUUAUUAUUAGAAUAGCCUGUCUGUACUAAAACUGCUAAAUGUCAAUUAUCUAUGCAUCCUGUUAAAAGAGCGAGUCGCGUAAUGCGUUCCCAUUAUGUUAUGCAUAAUCCGCAGAUAAAGUUCUGUUCUUCUGUUUGACAUGACUGUAUUUUCUUUCGUCUUUUCUUGUCUUAAGCAGGAUAUUUUCUGGUAGGCUACUCCAUUCCCGCCUCUUGUGUUCGUUUAGCGCAGCGGUUCUCAAGAAGAUCAUCUGCGAAAGAAAGAAAGAAAGACAAACUGCGGAAACUGCGUCGUCUCUCUUUCUUUCAUAAAGCGGCUCCGAACGAUCUCCAAUUCCUCUGAAACUUUCUUCUUCAGAUCGUUGACUUCGCACUGUCUGAGCAAACCUGACACAGAGCGUCAUGACAGACAUUCACUAACAUCAGAACUAGAACACGAUUAAUACAGUCAUCUCAAAUAAAGGAUCACUGUGUAAGGAAGCUUGAGUUAUUAUUUGUUCAAUAACUUCACAAUUAAAUAAAUGCAAUAAUUUGUUGUGUGCUUUCAGACAGUUUCCUUAUAUGAGCUAAAACAUGGACAUCAUUAAUGUGACGUGUGCAGAGAUUGAGACUCCAGUGGGGUUUGUGUAUGUGAUUCUGUCUGUUAUAAUGAAUCAAACUAAUAAUCCUGACUGUGAUCAGAGCUGGUAUCUACAGGAUGAUCGUCUGAUAGCAGAUCCAUCAGAUCCUCAGAAACUGAUUGAUCCUGUGAUUUCUGUCUCGUCUGAUCGUCUCGUCACGUCUCGCUGUGUGAAUCUGAUUCAUGAGAUCAUCUGUCAUUCUGUUGGAUUCAGAUACGAGACUAUAUUCAGAGUGUUUAAUGGCACAGACUCCUUCAGCGGAUCGACUCAAACUCCAGAAUCACAUCAGUGGUGGUGGAUUUCUGCUCUGAUCUUCAUUGUUCUUCUGCUCUUGAUCUGUUUCUUGCUGCGGAAAAAGAUCUUCAGAUGUUUUCAGCGCAGUGAUUCAGAAAACAGAGAUCCUGAAUCUGGUGUCCAGAUGCAGCUCAGAUCAGAUGAAUCUGAUUCACUGAAUCAAUCUGAAUCUGAUUCUCUCAGAGAUCCUGAAUCUGGUGUCCAGAUGCAGCUCAGAUCAGAUGAAUCUGAUUCACUGAAUCAAUAUGAAUCUGAGCAGAUCAACGGCUCCAUGUCCAGAGGAUGAUCUUCAUCUUCAUCAUCAUAAUCUUCUUCUUCUUCAUCAUCAUCAUCAUCUUCUUCAUCUUCAUCAUCAUCAUCUUCUUCAUCAUCUUCAUCAUCUUCAUCUUCUUCUUCUUCUUCUUCAUCAUCAUCAUCAUCAUCAUUGUGGCAGAUUUACUCAGACUCAGGCUCCUCAGGAGAUUUUUUUGCUUCAUUCUGAGCUUCUUAACUCUUAUUUAUUCUCGUUCAUCUGCAUCUGUCUGUUUUAUUAAUGCAGCUGAAUCUUAAAGACCCUCUUAUGUUUCUGAUCAUCUCCUGAACUUUGCCCGUUGAACCCAGAUCUCUGUUUAAAAAAAAACAGUGAAUUCCUGCUUCAGCUUUCACUGAAAGCAUGUACUUUGUGUUAUUAUCAUUGUCACAUGGACAUUAAUUUGAUGAGUCUGAUUCCUCUCAGACACUUCAUGGAGUUUUAUGUGAGCUCAAAAACACUAAAGCAUUAUGUAUAAAUGAAUAUAAAUUCUGAAUUAUUUGUCCUUAUUUCUUCAUAUUCACACUGUUUUACAUGAUUUAUUAAUUAAGAGUCAAAUCAUUGUCAGGAAACAUGCAUCCAUGUCUGUGUGUCUGUUAAUUAUCUCGUUUGUCUGUGUAGUCCUUGUUUACAGUUGUUCUUGGUUCAGGUUUUAUCUUUACUGUAGUUGUUCUGGUAACACUGUUGUGUUGUUCAUAUGUUUGCUUGAACAAAUGUUUUGUGCUCUCUCUCUCUCUCUCUCUCUCUCUAUGUAUAUAUAUAUGUGUGUGUUUUAUGAUAAACACUGGUAAGAUUUUAAUACAGUUUGUUCUAAAAUCAGUCAUUUGUUCUGUCAUUAUUUACGUUAUAAAGGUGUGCAAGUAAUACGACUGUACACUAUCCUUUAAAUGGGCUUUAUGUGUUCAUUCAUCUCUAUUCAAAGCUGCAAAAAAAAAUUUCUUCAUGGACGCUUUCAUUUAAUGAGUGUUUAAUGAGUUAAUAAAAUAUUUCAACUCAAGCCA